rnacentral:rRNA from 1 species
GAUGAACGCUGGCGGCGUGCCUAAUACAUGCAAGUCGAGCGAACGGACGAGAAGCUUGCUUCUCUGAUGUUAGCGGCGGACGGGUGAGUAACACGUGGAUAACCUACCUAUAAGACUGGGAUAACUUCGGGAAACCGGAGCUAAUACCGGAUAAUAUUUUGAACCGCAUGGUUCAAAAGUGAAAGACGGUCUUGCUGUCACUUAUAGAUGGAUUCGCGCUGCAUUAGCUAGUUGGUAAGGUAACGGCUUACCAAGGCAACGAUGCAUAGCCGACCUGAGAGGGUGAUCGGCCACACUGGAACUGAGACACGGUCCAGACUCCUACGGGAGGCAGCAGUAGGGAAUCUUCCGCAAUGGGCGAAAGCCUGACGGAGCAACGCCGCGUGAGUGAUGAAGGUCUUCGGAUCGUAAAACUCUGUUAUUAGGGAAGAACAUAUGUGUAAGUAACUGUGCACAUCUUGACGGUACCUAAUCAGAAAGCCACGGCUAACUACGUGCCAGCAGCCGCGGUAAUACGUAGGUGGCAAGCGUUAUCCGGAAUUAUUGGGCGUAAAGCGCGCGUAGGCGGUUUUUUAAGUCUGAUGUGGAAGCCCACGGCUCAACCGUGGAGGGUCAUUGGAAACUGGAAAACUUGAGUGCAGAAGAGGAAAGUGGAAUUCCAUGUGUAGCGGUGAAAUGCGCAGAGAUAUGGAGGAACACCAGUGGCGAAGGCGACUUUCUGGUCUGUAACUGACGCUGAUGUGCGAAAGCGUGGGGAUCAAACAGG